rnacentral:rRNA from 1 species
GACGAACGCUGGCGGCGUGCUUAACACAUGCAAGUCGAACGAAGUGGCGAACGGGUGAGUAACGCGUAAUCAACCUGCCCUUCAGAGGGGGACAACAGUUGGAAACGACUGCUAAUACCGCAUACUGAAGGAGGGGAUUGCGUCUGAUCGGCUCUGUGGAGGGGUAACGGCCCACCAAGGCGAUGAUCAGUAGCCGGUCUGGUAGGGAGAACGGCCAAAUGGGGAAUGAGACAAGGGCCAGACUCCUACGGGAGGCAGCAGUGGGGAAUCUUCCGCAAUGGAGGAAAGUCUGACGGAGCAACGCCGGGUGAGUGAUGACGGCCUUCGGGUUGUAAAGCUCUGUUAAUCGGGACGCGGUACCGGAAUAGAAAGCCACGGCUAACUACGUGCCAGCAGCCGCGGUAAUUC